rnacentral:tRNA from 1 species
GGCCCGUUCGUCUAUCGGCGCAGGAUACCGCUCUUUGGGCAUCGACGCGCAGCGUUGGUCGACGGAGAGAUGAGUUCGAUUCCCAUACGGGCUG